rnacentral:lncRNA from 10 species
GUGCCGGAGGCUUGCCGGGCGGCCUUGCGGUUUGAAGCAGUGAGUCACCUUCUGGCUGCAAGUCAAGGAACUCUCACUGCGCCCUUGUUUGGACAAGACGAGGAGGCGCACUCAGAGUCAGAGACCCCGGGGCAGAGACAGGGGCAAGAAGAAGGGGCCACCGAGACCCCAAGAGAGUCAGGGAGACAGACGCACCAAACGACCGACACAACCAGGGACAGGGAGGAAAAGUUGCCUAUCUGUUGGGUCAGAUUUCUGAAGACUGAUGAGGCCCAUUUUCUGAUAUCCUUCGAGUUGGAUUUCGACUGGGUUCUGCCAGUGGGAUGUAUCCAUGCGAGAUUCUGGAACUAACAUCAGAGAGAGUCCAAGCUUCUAACUUUUAUCAGCGGCAGUGACAAUAGUCAAGCAGCAUUGAUGACAAACGGCAAGAGUUUAGAAAGUACCAGUGACGUGCCUGAUAGAAUCUCACCACAAGAUGGAAGCCAACUCGUCAGAAGCCUGGAAAGCCCACCCAGCGUGGGACCUCUGUGGGUCCAGGAUCUUGGAAUGGUAUCCCAUGGUUCAAUCUUCUGGAUUCAACCACAUAAAUUUACCCCACCCAUGUCGUGGACCCAAGCUUCCUACCAUGUAUACUUAGCUUAAAUGCAAGAUAGUACUAUUUUGUUCAUCUUGAUUGGAGUGAGAAAUGAAUAGGUCCAUGCACAUAUAUUUCUUUUACCACAACAAGAUGAUGAAGAAAUAAAUCCAUAAUAUCGAUACUUUUGUAUAAGUUGUGUUUACAGUUGCGGUAAGAAAUUUUAUAAUUGUUGAUUUGCUUUAUAUAAUUUCUGCUUGCUUUUUAUGAUAUUUAAAACAAAAUCUAAGCAACAAAUUUUAUGUCUGAUUAGAUUUACAGAAGCUGCUUAAGUGCUUAGGGAUAAUUUGUUCAUCAUAUUUGUAAGUCUCCCUUGUUAGGUGUUUGAAGUGUUUGAAUUGGCUAAAUUAAAUUUGUAAUUGUAGUUUGAAAUAUCUAAAGGAAUUUUCUUAAUUAAGUGUUUAAAUGAUGUUAAAAGUUUGUGGGAAUUUAAUCUAUCAAAUUUAUGAGUUAAUUGAAUAUGAAUCAAUGAACAAGUAAAUGUGAUCUUGCUUUUAUAUAAAAACUACUAAGUUCAUAAAUAAAAUACAAAGAUCCAUAAGUUGAGAGGAAAAGCAAAAGAGCCAGAUUCUAAGAUCUAUAACUUAAAAAAAUUAAAUAUUGAUUGAAAUGUAAGUCAUUGCAAUUAUCCCCACUAGCUGAAAUCUCACAUCUGAGUGCUUACACACAAAACAAAAUGUUACCCUGAACAUACUAAACAAAUAAAAAACCACGUGGUAAUUACUAUACACAUGCUCACUGCUGGAAGCAUUCAUACUGCACUCAAAUCCAGGUGGGAGAAUGCAGCGUGUGCUACAGGUGAAUCUCGGCUGUUCUCUUAUGGGGAUCAGGUCUUUUUCUUAAUUAUCUUCCACGGAUUUUUCUUCCUUUACCCAGAGACCUGGAGGCCCUCCCAGCCCAGGUCCAAUUCAGAUGGAUACAUACUUAACAUCACUAACCUAUUGAUUUGCUUGUUUAUUU